UAUAUAGGACAUAGAACUUCGAUUUUCAGUUUCCCAUCUCUUUUCAGUAUGCCAUUCGUGGUGCAUGUGUUUAUAACCUCUUCUUUUUUAUACGUUUUCUCUUGCCAUUUGUAGGGGCCUAUAUCAAAUGUUAUAAUGAUAGCCCAGAGCUGUUUCGCAACUGCAAAUUUUGAUGUAUUUUCCAAUUUCCAUUGGAUAUUAGGCCCACUAAAUUGGCGGUUCAUGUUUAUCAUGCAUCUGAAUUGAACAAUUGAGUUCCAUAUACGUUACAAAAUUGUUGCUUCUCUCAACUAGGCAUCAUUCUUGACUAACAUGUGACAUGUAAUUUGUUUCGCUCUUAUUACGUUGUGAAGAAUGCUUAUCUCUAAAACUCCAUUUGUCACUUGACAUUUUUGUCUGUAGACGGCAAGAGAAGACCAUUACGAAGCUUGUUGUUGAUACAGAGACAGAUAAAGUUCUUGGAGCAUCCAUGUGUGGGCUGGAUGCGGCUGAGAUUAUGCAUGGCAUUGCUAUUGUGCUCAAGUGUGGAGCAACUAAGGCACAAUUUGAUAGCAUGGUAAGCUGGACUUCACUCCUCAGAACUAGUUGGGAAAGAAAUGACAUACUGCUCAUUCUGACUAGCUUCUCUUCCUACUUAAUUUUCUUUCGAACUGGCAUCUGAGCUUCUGUUUGUUGACGUGUGGAGUUACUUGAAGGAAUAUUCAUACGGGUAGCCUAUAAGUUGUUUCCCCUAACUAUCAGAGCACUGAUUUUCUUUAAAGCUUAGUUGGAGUCUUUUGUCUCUCCUCGUACUCCCUCUGUCCCCACUCCACAUUGUUUGUCAUUUUCUGGCAGUCAUGCCUUUAUCAGGUCAACAUAUACUGUUUUUUGGUAGAAAAAGAUUUCAAGAUCUUUUCUAGCAAUUAAAAGAUCUCAUUUAGGUUUUGUAGACAAAGUUUUCAUAAUCAUCUAAUAAAAAAAGUCAGAAAACAUAGACGAUUUUGUGUGAUGUCCAUGAUAUUGGAAAUGCACAAAUAAAUGAGGACAGAUGUGUAUUUUCUUUCAUACACAAAUUAACUGAGAACUCAUGUUCCUAUAACCAUUUCCAUCCCCC